GAUGAACGCUGGCGGCGUGCCUAAUACAUGCAAGUCGAGCGAACAGAUGAGGAGCUUGCUCCUCUGACGUUAGCGGCGGACGGGUGAGUAACACGUGGAUAACCUACCUAUAAGACUGGGAUAACUUCGGGAAACCGGAGCUAAUACCGGAUAAUAUAUUGAACCGCAUGGUUCAAUAGUGAAAGACGGUUUUGCUGUCACUUCUAGAUGGAUCCGCGCCGCAUUAGCUAGUUUGUAAGGUAACGGCUUACCACGGCAACGAUGCGUAGCCGACCUGAGAGGGGGAUCGGCCACACUGGAACUGGGACAGCGUCCAGACUCCUACGGGAGGCAGCAGUAGGGAAUCGGCCGCAAUGGGCGAGAGCCUGACGGAGCAACGCCGCGUGAGUGAUGAAGGUCUUCGGAUCGUAAUACUCUGUUAUGAGGGAAGAACAAAUGUGUAAGGAACUAUGCACGUCUUGACGGUACCUAAUAAGAAAGCCACGGCUAACUACGUG
rnacentral:rRNA from 1 species